rnacentral:rRNA from 1 species
CAGCAGCCACGGGAAUACGUAGGUGGCAAGCGUUGUCCGGAAUUAUUGGGCGUAAAGGGCUCGCAGGCGGUUUCUUAAGUCUGAUGUGAAAGCCCCCGGCUCAACCGGGGAGGGUCAUUGGAAACUGGGAAACUUGAGUGCAGAAGAGGAGAGUGGAAUUCCACGUGUAGCGGUGAAAUGUGUAGAGAUGUGGAGGAACACCAGUGGCGAAGGCGACUCUCUGGUCUGUAACUGACGCUGAGGAGCGAAAGCGUGGGGAGCGAACAGGAUUAGAGACCCGCGUAGUCCCUGUCUCUUAUAC